GCUAGGGUAGCAAAACACGGUAACUGCAUAAGACUUAAACUUUUAUAACAGAGGUUCAACUCCUCUCCCUAACAC
rnacentral:tRNA from 1 species